CCCGGCGUAUAGCUCAAGUUGGUAGAGCACCGGGUUAGUAACCGGCGGGUCUGGAGUUCGUCCCCAGAGUCGGCACUAACUUAACCCAACCGGAACGACGUGGGAUUCGUACCCCACCGCUGGUC
rnacentral:tRNA from 1 species